AAGUAAACAGUGCGAGAUUUGGUGCGUUUAUCGCGAAUUUUUUUCGGGCUCGUGUCUGUCGUACGUUGUGGUUGGUGUGAUUGAUGGUUUGGUGCAAAUAGUAAAGUGACAUAAUCAUAAGACGGGCGAGGAAUCACCAUUUUGCAAAAUAUUUGUAAACGGAAUUAUAUGGUAAGUAAUACUCCAUCUGGAAGCUGGUUUUUACAUCUACACCAUUAAAGAUUUUUCUUUUCUUUAAGGUUCAAUACAAAAACGUCGAAAUAUUAACAUUAAACUGACAUGACUUACUAAAUAAAGUAUUUAGUAACUA
rnacentral:lncRNA from 1 species